rnacentral:rRNA from 1 species
AUUAGAUACCCUGGUAGUCCACGCCGUAAACGAUGAUUACUAGGUGUCGGUGGGUCAAGACCCAUCGGUGCCGUCGCAAACGCAGUAAGUAAUCCACCUGGGGAGUACGUUCGCAAGAAUGAAACUCAAAGGAAUUGACGGGGACCCGCACAAGCGGAGGAACAUGUGGUUUAAUUCGAUGAUACGCGAGGAACCUUACCCGGGCUCAAACGGGAGAUGACUCGGCCAGAGACGGCCGUUUCCGCAAGGACAUCUUCCGAGGUGCUGCAUGGUUGUCGUCAGCUCGUGCCGUGAGGUGUCGGCUUAAGUGCCAUAACGAGCGCAACCCCCGCGGGCAGUUGCUAACAGGUCAAGCUGAGGACUCUGCCCGGACUGCCGGCGCAAGCCGUGAGGAAGGCGGGGAUGACGUCAAAUCAGCACGGCCCUUACGUCCGGGGCGACACACGUGUUACAAUGGUCGGUACAGCGGGAAGCCAGGCGGCGACGCCGAGCGGAACCCGAAAGCCGGUCUCAGUUCGGAUCGGAGUCUGCAACCCGACUCCGUGAAGCUGGAUUCGCUAGUAAUCGCGCAUCAGCCAUGGCGCGGUGAAUACGUUCCCGGGCCUUGUACACACCGCCCGUCAAGCCAUGGAAGCCGGGAGUGCCUGAAGUGCGUGAGCGCAAGCAGCGCCCUAAGGUAAAAACCGGUGACUGGGGCUAAGUCGUAACAAGGUACC